GACGAACGCUGGCGGCGUGCUUAACACAUGCAAGUCGAACGGAAAGGCCCUGCUUUUGUGGGGUGCUCGAGUGGCGAACGGGUGAGUAACACGUGAGUAACCUGCCCUUGACUUUGGGAUAACUUCAGGAAACUGGGGCUAAUACCGGAUAGGAGCUCCUGCUGCAUGGUGGGGGUUGGAAAGUUUCGGCGGUUGGGGAUGGACUCGCGGCUUAUCAGCUUGUUGGUGGGGUAGUGGCUUACCAAGGCUUUGACGGGUAGCCGGCCUGAGAGGGUGACCGGCCACAUGGGGACUGAGAUACGGCCCAGACUCCUACGGGAGGCAGCAGUGGGGAGUAUUGCACAAUGGGCGGAAGCCUGAUGCAGCAACGCCGCGUGCGGGAUGACGGCCUUCGGGUUGUAAACCGCUUUCGCCUGUGACGAAGCGUGAGUGACGGUAAUGGGUAAAGAAGCACCGGCUAACUACGUG
rnacentral:rRNA from 1 species